rnacentral:rRNA from 1 species
UACAGAGGUCUCAAGCGUUGUUCGGAUUCAUUGGGCGUAAAGGGUGCGUAGGUGGCGGGGUAAGUCAGGUGUGAAAUCUCGAGGCUCAACCUCGAAACUGCACUUGAUACUGCCUUGCUCGAGUACUGGAGAGGAGAUUGGAAUUUACGGUGUAGCAGUGAAAUGCGUAGAUAUCGUAAGGAAGACCAGUGGCGAAGGCGGUCUGCUGGGCAGUUGCUGACACUGAGGCGCGACAGCGUGGGGAGCAAACAGG